UGGUCAUGGACUAUUUUGGGAAAAGCGUACUCAGCAGAUGGACAUAGCAAUAAAAGACAAUAUCCAGUCAGCCRCUGAGGAACAGAAGAGCUGCAGUAAAUAUUAUUAAAGGACAACCUCUUUGAAAAUGAGAUGGAAACCACUCAUAUACCUUCUGUCACAAUGCUAACACAGGAGCUCCAUGAAAGAGGACUUCUUGAAGGUGUCAGAUGUUUCAUGUGAGCGCCGACAUUUUUAUUGAAAGGACAAGAGGGUUUUUUAACAAAUAGAUCCUUUGUCCAAAUUAUUUAUUAUUGGAUUAAGUAGGUUUUAACAACAGAAAUAAUAGAAAGUUCUCAACAGUCUAACUUAAAUCCAUUCUUUUUCUCAGUUCGUCUUUAGA